GAUGAACGCUGGCGGCGUGCCUAAUACAUGCAAGUCGAGCGAACGGACGAGAAGCUUGCUUCUCUGACGUUAGCGGCGGACGGGUGAGUAACACGUGGAUAACCUACCUAUAAGACUGGGAUAACUUCGGGAAACCGGAGCUAAUACCGGAUGAUAUUUUGAACCGCAUGGUUCAAAAGUGAAAGACGGUCUUGCUGUCACUUAUAGAUGGAUCCGCGCUGCAUUAGCUAGUUGGUAAGGUAACGGCUUACCAAGGCAACGAUGCAUAGCCGACCUGAGAGGGUGAUCGGCCACACGGGAACUGAGACACGGUCCAGACUCCUACGGGAGGCAGCAGUAGGGAAUCUGCCGCAAUGGGCGAAAGCCUGACGGAGCAACGCCGCGUGAGUGAUGAAGGUCUUCGGAUCGUAAAACUCUGUUAUUAGGGAAGAACAUAUGUGUAAGUAACUGUGCACAUCUUGACGGUACCUAAUCAGAAAGCCACGGCUAACUACGUG
rnacentral:rRNA from 1 species